AAGGUCCCCACAUUGGAACUGAGACACGGUCCAAACUCCUACGGGAGGCAGCAGUGAGGAAUAUUGGUCAAUGGGCGCUAGCCUGAACCAGCCAAGUAGCGUGAAGGAUGAAGGCUCUAUGGGUCGUAAACUUCUUUUAUAUAAGAAUAAAGUGCAGUAUGUAUACUGUUUUGUAUGUAUUAUAUGAAUAAGGAUCGGCUAACUCCGUGCCAGCAGCCGCGGUAAUACGGAGGAUCCGAGCGUUAUCCGGAUUUAUUGGGUUUAAAGGGAGCGUAGGUGGACUGGUAAGUCAGUUGUGAAAGUUUGCGGCUCAACCGUAAAAUUGCAGUUGAUACUGUCAGUCUUGAGUACAGUAGAGGUGGGGGGAAUUCGUGGUGUAGCGGUGAAAUGCUUAGAUAUCACGAAGAACUCCGAUUGCGAAGGCAGCUCACUGGACUGCAACUGACACUGAUGCUCGAAAGUGUGGGUAUCAAACAGGAUUAGAUACCCUGGUAGUCCACACAGUAAACGAUGAAUACUCGCUGUUUGCGAUAUACAGUAAGCGGCCAAGCGAAAGCAUUAAGUAUUCCACCUGGGGAGUACGCCGGCAACGGUGAAACUCAAAGGAAUUGACGGGGGCCCGCACAAGCGGAGGAACAUGUGGUUUAAUUCGAUGAUACGCGAGGAACCUUACCCGGGCUUAAAUUGCAGUGGAAUGAUGUGGAAACAUGUCAGUGAGCAAUCACCGCUGUGAAGGUGCUGCAUGGUUGUCGUCAGCUCGUGCCGUGAGGUGUCGGCUUAAGUGCCAUAACGAGCGCAACCCUUAUCUUUAGUUACUAACAGGUUAUGCUGAGGACUCUAGAGAGACUGCCGUCGUAAGAUGUGAGGAAGGUGGGGAUGACGUCAAAUCAGCACGGCCCUUACGUCCGGGGCUACACACGUGUUACAAUGGGGGGUAC
rnacentral:rRNA from 1 species